UUUAUGGAGAGUUUGAUCCUGGCUCAGGAUGAACGCUGGCGGCGUGCCUAAUACAUGCAAGUCGAGCGAACGGACGAGAAGCUUGCUUCUCUGAUGUUAGCGGCGGACGGGUGAGUAACACGUGGAUAACCUACCUAUAAGACUGGGAUAACUUCGGGAAACCGGAGCUAAUACCGGAUAAUAUUUUGAACCGCAUGGUUCAAAAGUGAAAGACGGUCUUGCUGUCACUUAUAGAUGGAUCCGCGCUGCAUUAGCUAGUUGGUAAGGUAACGGCUUACCAAGGCAACGAUGCAUAGCCGACCUGAGAGGGUGAUCGGCCACACUGGAACUGAGACACGGUCCAGACUCCUACGGGAGGCAGCAGUAGGGAAUCUUCCGCAAUGGGCGAAAGCCUGACGGAGCAACGCCGCGUGAGUGAUGAAGGUCUUCGGAUCGUAAAACUCUGUUAUUAGGGAAGAACAUAUGUGUAAGUAACUGUGCACAUCUUGACGGUACCUAAUCAGAAAGCCACGGCUAACUACGUGCCAGCAGCCGCGGUAAUACGUAGGUGGCAAGCGUUAUCCGGAAUUAUUGGGCGUAAAGCGCGCGUAGGCGGUUUUUUAAGUCUGAUGUGAAAGCCCACGGCUCAACCGUGGAGGGUCAUUGGAAACUGGAAAACUUGAGUGCAGAAGAGGAAAGUGGAAUUCCAUGUGUAGCGGUGAAAUGCGCAGAGAUAUGGAGGAACACCAGUGGCGAAGGCGACUUUCUGGUCUGUAACUGACGCUGAUGUGCGAAAGCGUGGGGAUCAAACAGGAUUAGAUACCCUGGUAGUCCACGCCGUAAACGAUGAGUGCUAAGUGUUAGGGGGUUUCCGCCCCUUAGUGCUGCAGCUAACGCAUUAAGCACUCCGCCUGGGGAGUACGACCGCAAGGUUGAAACUCAAAGGAAUUGACGGGGACCCGCACAAGCGGUGGAGCAUGUGGUUUAAUUCGAAGCAACGCGAAGAACCUUACCAAAUCUUGACAUCCUUUGACAACUCUAGAGAUAGAGCCUUCCCCUUCGGGGGACAAAGUGACAGGUGGUGCAUGGUUGUCGUCAGCUCGUGUCGUGAGAUGUUGGGUUAAGUCCCGCAACGAGCGC
rnacentral:rRNA from 1 species